rnacentral:rRNA from 1 species
CCUACGGGGAGCAGCAGGGGGGAAUAUUGCACAAUGGGCGAAAGCCUGAUGCAGCAACGCCGCGGGAAGGAAGACGGUUGUCGGAUUGUAAACUUCUGUUCGUAGGGAAGAAGAAUGACGGGAACGAAGGAGCAAGCCACGGCGAACUACGUGCCAGCAGCCGCGGUAAUACGUAGGUGGCAAGCGUUGUCCGGAAUUACUGGGUGGAAAGGGAGCGGAGGCGGGAAGCCAAGUCAGCUGUGAAAACUACGGGCUUAACCUGUAGACGGCAGUUGAAACUGGCUUUCUUGAGUGAAGUAGAGGUUGGCGGAAUUCCGAGUGUCGCGGUGACAUGCGUCUAUAUUCGGAGG